rnacentral:rRNA from 1 species
AAUUUUCAACGAUGGAUGUCUUGGUUCCCAUAACGAUGAAGAACGCAGCGAGAAUGCGAUAUGCAAUGUGAAUUGCAGAACUACGAAUCAUUUGAUCUUUGAACGCAAAUGGCGCUGGGCCGACCCAGCAUAUUUGAUUCAGUGUGCC